UGGGGAAUCAUGGUCAAUGGGCGAAAGCCUGAACCUGCGACGCCGCGUGAGUGAUGAAGGUCGUAAGAUCGUAAAACUCUUUUCAGGGAUCUUAAAGCCUGUCUGUCAACAACAGGCAGGUCUGACUCUCCCUGGAAGAAGCCCCAGCCAACUACGUGCCAACAGCUGCGGUAAUACGUAGGGGGCGCGCGUUAUUCGGAAUUCCUGGGUGUAAAGGGUAUGUAGGCGGCCCUUCAAGUCGCGUGUCAAAGUCCAGGG
rnacentral:rRNA from 1 species